rnacentral:rRNA from 1 species
ACUCCUACGGGAGGCAGCAGUGAGGAAUAUUGGACAAUGGGCGGGAGCCUGAUCCAGCCAUGCCGCGUGCAGGAAGACUGCCCUAUGGGUUGUAAACUGCUUUUGUACAGGAAGAAACACUCCCUCGUGAGGAGCUUGACGGUACUGUAAGAAUAAGGAUCGGCUAACUCCGUGCCAGCAGCCGCGGUAAUACGGAGGAUCCAAGCGUUAUCCGGAAUCAUUGGGUUUAAAGGGUCCGUAGGUGGAUGAUUAAGUCAGAGGUGAAAUCCUGCAGCUCAACUGUAGAAUUGCCUUUGAUACUGGUUGUCUUGAAUUAUUGUGAAGUAGUUAGAAUAUGUGGUGUAGCGGUGAAAUGCAUAGAUAUCACAUAGAAUACCGAUUGCGAAGGCAGAUUACUAACAAUACAUUGACACUGAUGGACGAAAGCGU